CCAGGAAGGUCUGCGUCAGAAGACUCUCUGCAAUUGGGAAAGAAGGGUCACCUCUGUUCCCAUCAUGCUCUGGGCUCCCAUCCUGCUCACCUUCCUCUCUUAUCCCUCAGGUUCCUUUGGGCAGUACGUGCUGACCCAGCCGCCCUCCGCCUCUGUGUCGCUGGGAGGAAAUGCACAAAUCUCCUGUUCAGGAAACAACAUUGGGGGUAAGAACGUGCACUGGUACCAGCAGAAACCGGGGAAGGCUCCAGUCCUCAUCAUAUACAAUGACGACAGCAGACCCGAUGGGAUCUCGGACCGAUUCUCUGGCACCAACUCUGGCAACACGGCCAGGCUAAGCAUUGCCAGGGCUCAAGCAGGAGACGAGGCAGUUUAUUACUGCCAGGUGAGGGACGGCAACGCAGCUCACAGUGAUACAAACGAAGGGGGAACUGGGACAAAAACCUCCUGCUAG